UAUAAAGGAACGGGAAGGACUCUCUUUUUAAAAAAAACGUACAAAUUGUUAAAUUGAAUACGUCAAUGUAAAUAGUGAAACGUAUUUUAUUAUAUAAAUGUUCAGAUUUUGCAUGCAAUGGCCUCCUUUAUAAUUAAUAAUUUUUCCAGAAAGAAUUAAUAAAAAUAAUUCCACU